AUGAACGCUGGCGGCGUGCCUCAUACAUGCAAGUCGAGCGAACAGACGAGGAGCUUGCUCCUCUGACGUUAGCGGCGGACGGGUGAGUAACACGUGGAUAACCUACCUAUAAGACUGGGAUAACUUCGGGAAACCGGAGCUAGUACCGGAUAAUAUAUUGAACCGCAUGGUUCCAUAGUGAAAGACGGUUUUGCUGUCACUUAUAGAUGGAUCCGCGCCGCAUUAGCUAGUUGGUAAGGUAACGGCUUACCAAGGCAACGAUGCGUAGCCGACCUGAGAGGGUGAUCGGCCACACUGGAACUGAGACACGGUCCAGACUCCUACGGGAGGCAGCAGUAGGGAAUCUUCCGCAAUGGGCGAAAGCCUGACGGAGCAACGCCGCGUGAGUGAUGAAGGUCUUCGGAUCGUAAAACUCUGUUAUUAGGGAAGAACAAAUGUGUAAGUAACUAUGCACGUCUUGACGGUACCUAAUCAGAAAGCCACGGCUAACUACGUG
rnacentral:rRNA from 1 species